GGCCGGAUAAGGCAUUCACGCCGCAUCCGGCAAUCAACGCCUGAUGCGACGCUGUCGCGUCUUAUCAGGCC
rnacentral:ncRNA from 1 species